CUGCCUACGGGGGACAGCAGUGAGGAAUAUUGGUCAAUGGGAGAGAUCCUGAACCAGCCAAGCCGCGUGAGGGAAGACGGCCCUAUGGGUUGUAAACCUCUUUUGUCGGAGAACAAAACCCGGGACGUGUCCCGGACUGCGUGUAUCCGAAGAAAAAGCAUCGGCUAACUCCGUGCCAGCAGCCGCGGUAAUACGGAGGGUGCAAGCGUUAUCCGGAUUUAUUGGGUUUAAAGGGUGCGCAGGCGGAGGUGCAAGUCAGCAGUCAAAUUGCGGGGCUCAACCCCGUACUGCCGUUGAAACUGCAU
rnacentral:rRNA from 1 species